CAGUCCCUGAGCAAAGCAGCGAAGAACCCAGUUCAGCCAGCACAGAUGGGAUCCGUGGAUCCCAGACUCAGCCAUCGGAUGCUUUAGGAGGUCUGCCGGAAGAAAUUUCAGAGAACCGGACCCUCUCAUGGGUGUGCAUGUCUUCAGAUGUUGGCUGUGAGUCACUGGGGAACGGUGAUGAGUCGGAGGAAGGGGAUGAAGUGUCACCAUCUGCAAUCUGGGACUCAGAUCAGAUUUCGUGUGCAGGUUCCUUGGAUAACUCUGCAAGUAGUGGGAUUGUAGGGCAGAGUGGGGAGGACUUACCUCUGAGAGACUCACCUGACUCCAAUGUGAUUUCCAGGUCACCUGCACCAGAUGACCAUAAUGACUCUCAAACCAGUGUUCAUAACAUGAGUGGGGCAGAACAUGAUGACAUCUUACCUGAGACAGUGGGUGGGAAUCAAGCACCAGCACAAAAUUCAGGGGCUGGGGGACAUGUUGUCAGAACACGUGCAGGCAGAGUUGUUAAGGCAGUUAAUCGUCUCAUAGAGAACAUGGCACAGAAACCACUUACAAGGGGUAUUGUGAAAGGGUUAAGCAGAAAAUCUCAGUCUUUGUUGACCCUGUCUUAAUGUACAAAGGGGGCACAACAAUGUAUAUUAUGCAGUAUUUUAUUGUUUUGUUUUAGAAGAUGUAUUACAAUUUUUACUUUUUUUUUAUCCUCUGUGGUUAAUGUUCUCACGGUAGUACGUGUGCCAAGGUUUUAUGUGGUGUAAAAGGCACCAUAUUGACUAGGAGAGAGAGUAGCCUGAUCAACUCCUGUCUUCUCUGAACUUAUUUCACAAGUAGCUUUAUAUGCUGUGUCCAGGACCCAGAUUCAAGGGGUCAUCUUGGUUUGAGUGAGUGUGAACGUUUUGUCUCUUGUUAUCACCUAAUAUACAAAAUGUAGUUCUCUUCAUAUGCUCAGGAUUUUGGAGAAAUUAAGGAGAGGUGAAUGUAACAUGCAAGAGAAAGGAGGAUUGUUUAUAUUGAUGUGUAUAUAUAUGUGUAUUAUUAAUUUCACCAAAAUCCGUCACAUUGUGUUUGGGAUUAUUUUCAUUUCAUUACAUUAUUAUUAUUUUAUCUUCAACCUGACACGUUUAUUUGUUUUGGCUUUAUGCUUUAUAUUUUCUUUAUUUGCAAAGUCAGCGCUUUUAUUUUGAAGGCCAGCGGAAGUGAUUGUAACUUCCGGUCCCUCUCUCGUCAGUCUGCUUUAACCCUGACUGCGGGAGGUGGCCUUUUGGAUGGCAUGAACACUCACACUCUGCUUGAUAUUGCAUUUUAUGCAGGUAUGUAUGUACACAGCUGUUUGGGUUCAGAAAUUAUAUAAAUUAGUGUUAAAUUUAAAGUGCGUUGCCGACUAACACGGAAGCGUUCCUAUGAGAAGUGUGUUCUUGAUUUAAAUAUGUUAUACAUAUGUAUUUUGGUUUGACAAGUUUUUUUUGUAUUUUCUUUAUUUCCACUAAUUUGGUUUAUAUGAUUCUAAUGUUGUGCAUUAAGCACUGUCAUAUCAUUUGUUGUUUUAUUUUAUUUUUCAUCAAAUUGUCAGUGUAAAGCUAAAGUCAGUCUGCUUUAACCCUGACUGCGGGAGGUGGCCUUUUGGAUGGCAUGAACACUCACACUCUGCUUGAUAUUGCAUUUUAUGCAGGAAUAAACGGCAGUCAGACAGCA